rnacentral:rRNA from 1 species
AAGUGCGAAUGCUGACAUAAGUAACGAUAAAGCGGGUGAAAAGCCCGCUCGCCGGAAGACCAAGGGUUCCUGUCCAACGUUAAUCGGGGCAGGGUGAGUCGACCCCUAAGGCGAGGCCGAAAGGCGUAGUCGAUGGGAAACGGGUUAAUAUUCCCGUACUUGGUGUUACUGCGAAGGGGGGACGGAGAAGGCUAUGUUGGCCGGGCGACGGUUGUCCCGGUUUAAGCGUGUAGGUGUGUGUUCCAGGUAAAUCCGGUUCACUUUAACACUGAGGCGUGACGACGAGGCACUACGGUGCUGAAGCAACAAAUGCCCUGCUUCCAGGAAAAGCCUCUAAGCAUCAGGUAACAUCAAAUCGUACCCCAAACCGACACAGGUGGUCAGGUAGAGAAUACCAAGGCGCUUGAGAGAACUCGGGUGAAGGAACUAGGCAAAAUGGUGCCGUAACUUCGGGAGAAGGCACGCUGACACGUAGGUGAAGUGAUUUACUCAUGGAGCUGAAGUCAGUCGAAGAUACCAGCUGGCUGCAACUGUUUAUUAAAAACACAGCACUGUGCAAACACGAAAGUGGACGUAUACGGUGUGACGCCUGCCCGGUGCCGGAAGGUUAAUUGAUGGGGUCAGCGCAAGCGAAGCUCCUGAUCGAAGCCCCGGUAAACGGCGGCCGUAACUAUAACGGUCCUAAGGUAGCGAAAUUCCUUGUCGGGUAAGUUCCGACCUGCACGAAUGGCGUAAUGAUGGCCAGGCUGUCUCCACCCGAGACUCAGUGAAAUUGAACUCGCUGUGAAGAUGCAGUGUACCCGCGGCAAGACGGAAAGACCCCGUGAACCUUUACUAUAGCUUGACACUGAACAUUGAGCCUUGAUGUGUAGGAUAGGUGGGAGGCUUUGAAGCGUGGACGCCAGUCUGCGUGGAGCCGACCUUGAAAUACCACCCUUUAAUGUUUGAUGUUCUAACGUGGACCCGUGAUCCGGGUUGCGGACAGUGUCUGGUGGGUAGUUUGACUGGGGCGGUCUCCUCCUAAAGAGUAACGGAGGAGCACGAAGGUUGGCUAAUCCUGGUCGGACAUCAGGAGGUUAGUGCAAUGGCAUAAGCCAGCUUGACUGCGAGCGUGACGGCGCGAGCAGGUGCGAAAGCAGGUCAUAGUGAUCCGGUGGUUCUGAAUGGAAGGGCCAUCGCUCAACGGAUAAAAGGUACUCCGGGGAUAACAGGCUGAUACCGCCCAAGAGUUCAUAUCGACGGCGGUGUUUGGCACCUCGAUGUCGGCUCAUCACAUCCUGGGGCUGAAGUAGGUCCCAAGGGUAUGGCUGUUCGCCAUUUAAAGUGGUACGCGAGCUGGGUUUAGAACGUCGUGAGACAGUUCGGUCCCUAUCUGCCGUGGGCGCUGGAGAACUGAGGGGGGCUGCUCCUAGUACGAGAGGACCGGAGUGGACGCAUCACUGGUGUUCGGGUUGUCAUGCCAAUGGCACUGCCCGGUAGCUAAAUGCGGAAGAGAUAAGUGCUGAAAGCAUCUAAGCACGAAACUUGCCCCGA